CCUGAGAAACCCAAAAGAUCGAAUGGGGAGAUUCAUCGUCAGCAUAUUUAAUAUAUAUAUAAGUUAUGAUGUAAAUUAUGUUUAAUGUUUUACAUUAAACUAAUUUGCACGUACUUAUAAUAUUUUAUUGUUAAAUAUUGUCGUCGUGCACUUCUCCCCUAGUAGGACGUCGCGACCCGUUGAGUGUCGGUUUUACGGCCUGAUUGAAUUGUCUUUAAUAGUAAAAUAUUAAAAAUCAAUUAGUGUUUCCUAACCGACUGCUUGGCGGUACUCGUACGGUAUUGAGUCGCAAAUUUAUAUUUGCGUUUACACCCAUUAUAAACUAUUAGUUUUAAUGGUGUUCUGUAACUGGCUCUCAAUAUAAUUACCGGUCGGUUGGGUACU
rnacentral:rRNA from 1 species